rnacentral:rRNA from 1 species
UACGUAGGGGCCGAGCGUUGUCCGGAUUCAUUGGGCGUAAAGAGCGUGUAGGCGGCCGCUUAAGUCCUGCGUGAAAUCUCGGAGCUCAACUCCGAGCGGUCGUGGGAAACUGGGCGGCUAGAGUGCGGGAGAGGAGAGUGGAAUUCCUGGUGUAGCGGUGGAAUGCGCAGAUAUCAGGAAGAACACCCGUGGCGAAAGCGGCUCUCUGGAACGGUACUGACGCUGAGACGCGAAAGCGUGGGGAGCGAACAGG